rnacentral:tRNA from 1 species
GGCGACCUGGUGUAAUGGCUAACACACCACUCUCAUAAGGUGGGUAUUCAGGUUCGAUUCCCGAGGUCGCUA